rnacentral:lncRNA from 1 species
UUACCACUUGAUGAUCACUCUAAGAUCUUGACCUAGGCCUGGUUCUGCUGGCUAUGUCAUCUUUAUCAUAUUUAUGGCCCUCUGAACACCAAGGGCAGUUUAUGUUUACUUGGUCAAUGAGAUUGAACAUUGGUAUCAUUAUUUGUUCUUGAAGAGCCUGUUUUGUGAGAUUGUACACAGGGUUAAAGAAUUUCUUCUGGACUCUUAGUUCAUGUUGCUCCUGCCAGUGGAUUGUUUCUCCAACAUUUCUUCAUCCUGUUGGGUCAGGCCUUGUUUUCGUAUGGUUCUGUUCAUAUUGCUCUAAAGGAUCCCUGCAGCAUAUAUACUGUCUGACCAUGCAUGCUGGAAUUAUUUUUCGUUUGUUGAAUGAAUGGGAUUAAUUUAAAGCGGGGAAUCACCAGAUUUUGUGCAUUGCUAUCUUGGAGAUUGGUUUUCUUGAUCUGAAAAUUUUGACCACUUUUUUUUUUUAAUCUUGGAAAUUCAUGACCUAAAUGUUUGUGUUAGUGGAAGCAAUUGGCUUGUUUAUGAAAUUGAUAUUUUAGUGGAAGAUGGUGAUUGACAAUUGAUUUUGAAGCGGAAUAAGCACUGUGCAUAGACAAGCAGAGAUUGCCUAUAUUAGAAGAAUAUAAUCCUUGUUUUUUUCUUUCAUGUGCAUUAUCCCCAAAGGUCAAGGCAGGACUAAUGUUAGAUUUUUUUUUCUCUUUGUACUUCCCACAUUGCUUGAAGAUUUUAGUUUGGAGCACAAGUAAAAUUUUUGUAGAUAUUAACUGAUUUUGAGAUACAAUAGGAGGUACAUAAAUGCCCAUAAGGCUUUUUAAUCAUGAUAUGCAAGUAGUCCAUCAUCAACUUUGGCAUUUUUGUGGAUCUUCUCCUGGGUUAGAAUAUUGUUUAAUUUGUUUCACAUUAAUAUUGUAUUGAAAUCUUCUUUUUGAUUUUUUCUUUGGCCCUCUAGAGGUUGUAUACGGUUGCUCUGGACUUUAGUCAGUCAUGAUAUCUUUGGGCCAGAAAGAUGCUGAGGGAUUUGAGUCGAUGGUUGGCCUUAUCUCCUGGACCACCUUAGAUGUGUAAAUGUUUUGUUACUUUGAAAUGUCUUCUCAGUGCAAAUUACCCGGCACUCAAGCAACACCUAGUCAGCCUUAUAUUUUGCUUAGUAAGGUUUUGAUUGUCUGAUGCGGAUGCUGAUUAGAAUCCAAUGGAAGUCCUCUCUGUGUCUGUCUCAGAGUGAUGUGGUAUCAGGAAAAGGGAAUUUCGACCUGAAAUGCAAGAUUGUGUCGGGGAUGAUUAUGUAAUGGAUCUGCCAAUGUAUUUGGCCUCUUUGUGUGAGUUAUCCCUAUUGCCUCAAAUUUUUGGAGUGUUAUUUCGGUGGUUGUGUCUAAUUGAAUUUGAUUCGAUCCUUGACAUUCUGCAAUGAUUACAUGAUGCCUUGUGUACGUGGCCCAUUUAGAGAGCACUCCAUGUAGCAGCCAACCAAACCACCAGGGAUUCAGAAAGAUGGCAAUCUUUGUGAUGAAUCAUGUUCGACCAAUGAGGUGCUGCCAGGUCAUCCAUCGAUAUGAAUCAUCUGACAAACGAAUGGUCCACCAGGGGCAGCCCAAAGUUCACUUAGAGAACUUAGAAAACCCUUAUGAAGGUCAAAGAUGACUUCCAACUCUUCUUCCUCAUCCUUCGGUUGGGACUUAGACGAGUCAUCGGGCUUGUUACCACCAUCGGUGUCGGUUAGGUAGACUACCUCCUUUGAAGGGGUCAAUGUCGCUACUCUGAGGGAGGAUGUCCAUUCGGAGGCGAAUCCCUUGGGUAGUGGAGUCCCGUAGUCCUUGACGAGAUCAUUUAACUUCUAGUUGUGCAUUAGCACUAGAGUAGUAGCACACGUUAGAGGAGCCUUCCACAUCUCGGUCGAAUUAGAGUUGAUUGUUGCUCUGCCUAAUGAUUGGCCCUAUACACAGAAUUAUUAUCUCUGCAGAUACACAAACACACUGUAGGCAGGACUCUGAUUCCCCCUCUAUUCUUUCUUUGUUGAAACCUUCUAGGUUUCGAAGUUUUGUCUUGCCCAGGUAGCGUCGAAUUCUUAGCGCUAUCUUAUUACCUUCACUAGAAGUGUUGGAGGCUUAGUAUUACCCCGAUGUUGACCCUACCGCAUUUGUACUAUAACGUUUGCUUUAGAGAUAUAGCUUACUUUCUUUCUUCCUAAAUCAAUUGUAAAGUUAAAGGGGCACAAAGUUCCAAUAAGGGCUAGAAAGGUAGGUUCUUUUAUGUAGCUUUGAGGAAAGGUGGCCUUUUAUCGUGUAUUAGGCCACCCAAAGUUUGCCAAUGCUCCCCGGAGGUUGCUGGGGGCUAAGAAGGAGCAAUUUCAUUGGAUUGCCCUUGACUUAUUCGAGUCCACUAGCAUCUUCAAAUGAGCAAUGGAUUAUGGAUGCAGAACUCAAUCUUGUGUCUCACUUCCUCCUUUUUUGUUUUAGUUUUGGCUUUGAUUUCAACCCUUUUCUUAUAUGCUGUGGACAUGGACUUCACGCAAAUAUGUUCAAGGCAAUUGAUAAAGCAAGGCAAGCUGGUGAAGCACUCGUGGACCCCCCGCGUCAAUCUUCCCAUAGGGAUGAGCAGGGCAACUCGGGCGCAGAGGAGAGAUCGUCGGUGGAGAUCCGAGCAUCCUUGGUUCGUGUAGGGCAUUGGUGCUAAAUUUAAUGAACAAGCACCAAGGAGAUCCUUCGUGAUUGCUACCCAACCAAGAUCAUGGAUGGAUAAGUCAUCCUCCUCGAAGCGAUUUGAAGACUCAGCUCCCCCUUCCUUAUAAGGGGGGAGACUUCUCGAGUUACUAAGGCUUCCCGAUUUGGGGGGCCUCGAUAGGAGCGAUAACAAUUACCAUAACAACAACAAUAGCAAUAGAAGGUAGGGUCUUCAGUGGCCUUGGACCAAUUAAUCAAUCCACUGCCCAUGAUUUACGAAUCUGCCCCAUCAAACGGACUUUGCAUCUCUAUAAAUCGACAUCCAUAUGGCUCGAAGGGGAAGGACCCGGUGAAGAGGUGGAGGGAAUGUUAGAUGGAGUUGUGGCGAAGUCGAUACCCGAAGGGGCCUCUACUGAGUCCAUAGGCGAGGAGAUGAUAGUUGCAAAGCCCAAAGCCCCACUUGCUGAUGUGGAAGUUCUUGCUGUCAAACCUCCUUUGGCAUAUGAGACCAUUGUGAUUGUUGACGAUGCUGUCAAACCUCCUUUGGCAUUUCUGAUUGUUGACCAUUAUGAAGUAGUAUAGGUGUUGAGUUGCUUGCCUUUUGUAAAUUUUUUCUUUCUCUAUUUUUUUGAUUUUGUUAUCGGGAGAUCCUAAUUUUAUUUUAUAAUGAACUCUCAAGUGUAAUGUAAAUAUUUUUUUGUCAAUGAAAAGUACAACAUUUAUUAGGCUUUGAGUAUAAAUUUCUUUGCCAAGUCUGAAUCCUUGUUAUGAAUAAUAAUUUUUAAAUUGAACUAUAUUCUAAGUCUUAGGGAUAUGUGAACCCUCUAAAGUUUGAAGUCGAUAAAUCCAUGGUCAGCUGUCUUUUGAAAUGCAAUAAGGGUCUUCCUAGUUCGAUGCAAGUUUUCCUCGAGAGUGAGAACACGAGUUAGAAGAAGUGUUAUACUCGGGACCUCACAAGUUGACAUUUCAACAAAUAAUUGAUAGGCAAUGCAAAAUACAAAGCUAGACUUCGCAAGCUUUAAAUGGUCGUGCAACAUAAGUGGUGCAAACCUGAAAUGGCCACAAAUGACAAUUAAAAUGGGGGCUACCAAGCCUGCUACAAGCCCUGUACAUGUCGCCUAAGACAUGUACAAAAUCGAACGACACAAAAAUACAGAAACAUUACAUCAAAUUACAUCGAACACUUUGUCUACUGACUUCUCUGUAACAACAAGGCGAUGAGGUGUUGACAACCAUCAAUAUAUUAUGAUCCCCAUAUCAUAUGUUAAACCCGAUCAUUGUCUAAGGGAAUGUUCGAUCAAUACACAUCAUCAAUAAUAGCCUCCGAUGAUUUCAGUGACCCUUUACAUUUGGACAACAUCCUAUGAUUUGUCAAAACUAUGCGCUAAGUAUGAGUGGUUAUGGAAUCUGACUAUAAAAGACCUCAUAGUACAUCGACUUACAUUAUAUUAAAAAUAUUUAAUACAAACUAUUACCCGUCAGAUGUGGGCUACUUUCACUUUUGUGUUGGAGGAACCUUGUUGGGUACAUUUUCGAUCUUGGUUUUGCAAGUCAAUCAAUUAAUUCCUCAAUCAUCCUAGACACCAAUAGUACACAUUUCUAAUUGAUCCAACAUUAUUCUUGUGACAAAUGCGAUCUGAAGCCAAGGAAGCUUUAUUGCAUUAAUCAAUGGAAUAGACAACCAAACUAGACAUUAAGAAUUAUGUUUAAGUUGCUAUGUUAGUAGGUCUAUUAGGUCGCACCUUGACAACAUAGUUAUCAAACUAAUCUAAAUUUUAUAAAGAAUUAAAGUUUCCAAAUUUAGAUCCAACUCUAAUGCAUAAAGCAAAUUUUAAAUUUGACCUCCGACAUGCAAAACAAGACAUUCUUCAUGUAGUUAACAAAUGUUAGUCCCGUUGUCAUUGUUAAGCUUAAUUAUCUCUUGUAGAUCUCAAUACAUUGGUGAUAACAGCACUAAGAUCCCAUCACAUCAAAGUCAAUGAGAGACACCACAUCACCUUAUGUAGUGAAAGCCUUAUUAGAGUACUAACCCAAUAACUUGGUUAUUGAUGCAUAAGCUUAGAAGCUUUCAAAUCCAAAACGAGUUUGGAUCUUAAUCUACAUCCAAUAAUAUGUAUGCCUAAAUCUAACAGAAAACAUGGGGGCUUACAGGCUUCACAAUCCGACUCUUCAAUGGAUCCAUUUAAUCUGAUCCGACCCGGCCUGGCCUGUCUUAUUCCUAUAUAGAUUAGAGCCCCACAUAGCACAAAUUGGGUUGAACCCCUGCAAGGUCUGAUCAUCAUGUCAAGUGGCCUUCCGUGACUUAAAGAAUGACGAACCACAAACCCAAGUAAAGAAUCCGUCUUAAGAAUCUCCACCAGGAAGGUCGGAGCCCAUGAAUUCGGUGUCCCAAUUUCUUUUGACGGUUAGUUCCCUUCUACCCUUUUCCUCUCCUACAUUCUUUCCACUUUCUUCCUGAUUUCUUGAAUUUUUGGAUCGUCAAAUGAAUGGAAAUAAUGAUGAGAGUUUAAUGAAACAUUUAUUAGAAUCUAAUAGCAUUGAUCUUUUGGAUCUUGAUUGCACGAAGCCAACAAGAUCUAAUUUCCCUUUUUUUGGGGGUUUCAAGUCAAAGAAGGAUCUCAAUAAGUCACCUAAUUUGGCAUAUAUCCUUAUAUCUCGUUCUGAAUAACCAAUAUUGUAAAUAAAUCCAAUUGGAUUAGUUAAAGAUUUUUACAUCUUUCUUUUAGAGUUAUUUUUAUUGAUUAUGUCUUAUAAUUUUUGAUAUCCUACAAAAUUUUAAUUUCUUUCUUGUUCUUGUUUAAUUUUACAACAAAUUAGAAGUGUUGGAAACUAAUCUUAAGGAGUAAAUGUAAUUUAGUGGAUACUAGUGAACUCAUAAUCAGUGUUUAAGGCACUUUGCUCUGGUUUCAUUAGAUUAUCCUCUAAAAUGCAUAUUCAUUAUUGCGUGAUAAGCAAUCUUCCUUUUUGAAUAUUAAAACAUGCUAGCCUUUUGUUUUUUGAUGGUAGGUUCUUUACCUUGGAUUUGUAAAUCCUAUUUAUAAUAAUUUAUAUAUUAUUUUGCAGAGUCAAUAUCUUGGAGCAUGUUGUAUGGGCAGAAGUUUCAUUCUUGGUGAUAAGUGAUUCUGAAUAUAUAUAACAAUGGCUGGAUUUAGAACAACAUUUACUAGGUCGUUCUACAAUGCCAUAGAUUCUUGCUUCAAGGCAAGAUCUCUUGGGUCAUUCAUCUCUCCACUUGAAAUUUCAAGGCUAACCUUGUGCAGUGUUUCUUUAGUAUCACGUGACCUUACACCUGACAAAUACAGUGUACAAGACUGGCCUCGGCAACAUACAAAAACAAGUAAGGGCAAAUUGUUUACUUUCUUCCCUUUUGCUGAAACUUGGAGUUGCAGAACUGAUGGCAGAACGUAUUCAACUACACUUCCAGUUAGCAACCAAUCAAUCACAAAUUUGUUAAGCUUUGGACAUACUUUAUCUCCAUGGUGCUUAAAUGCAAAAUACAACUAUCGAACAUAUUCUUCCCAUUCUGGAGGCAAACAAGAUGGUGUCCAAAGUGCUCUUGAAAAUAUUGCAAGUACAGAAGCAUCAAAGGAUGGAAAUACUGGUGCUGUGGGGAAUGACUGGGUAGCUAUACUUGACCGUGCUCGUGAGGCUGUUGUGGAUGCGGCUAUUAGCACAGAAAAGAAAGUUAAAGACUCGUAUGAUAAUGUGACUCCAUAUUUGCAAGAGUUAUAUGAUUCACAUCCAUAUCUGGAGAAGGUGAUUGUUCCAAUCACUGGGACUGUGUCUGCUACAUUGUUGGCUUGGUUUGUCAUGCCCAAAAUAUUCAGGAAACUGCACAGUUAUGCAACGCAGAGUCCUGUUGCUUUGUUAUCGGGGAAUUCAACCAAAGAACGAGUUCCUUAUGAUAAAAGUCUAUGGAGUGCUCUAGAAGACCCUGCGAGAUACCUUAUUACAUUUGUGGCAUUUUCUCAACUGUGAGUUUCUUUUGUUGUAGUUAAAACUAAUGACUGCUUCAAUAUAUUUGUCAUCAUUCUCAUUUUUGCAGUUUUUGUAUGCUAAUCAACUUUUUAUUUAGUUUUUCAUUUCAAUUUAGGAACUUAACUAUCUUUUGCACACAUAUCAGCUUAUUUUUAAGUGGUCUCAAACAUUAAAACAUGCAACUUCUGCUUGUAUUACAUCUCAAAUGUUUGGUUCCAUUUGGUACUGGUCUGCUUACUGUUUAAUAUAGGAUCCACAUAGUGAAUUUGUCGAGUUAUACAACCUAUAUUGGACUUAUUGGGUGAAAUCACUUCUUUCGUGUCCCAGUUGGCUUUCAGAUCAGUAUAUGCGGUAUCGUAAAUCUUAUCUAUAACAUGUUUUCUGCUGAGCUCUUAUCCACAAGUGCUGUUAUCGUGUCACAUCACUGGAACAGACCCUUGUUACAAACAUUGAGAAACUUAGAUGAGGGGACAUUUAAGUUAUAUAUAUUAGCAAAGAUAAACCACUAUGAACCAAUGAUUGAAAAUUCGUACCGUACCAGAGUUUCGAGCUUUGCUCGGUACGGUACAGUAUGGUGUACCGAGCGGUAUGCCUAAUUUAGGUGUAAAAUCCUCUGAAAAUACUUGAAAAAUAGAAAAAAAAGUUAGGAUAGGGUUUUCAAGUUAGAAAUAAAUACAGUAAUAGUAUAAGUUUAGCAAAAUCAAUGUAAAUUAGGUAAGAAUAGUGUCACAUAUCUUUUUUGGGGUUUGAGGAAUAGCUUUGUGCAAGGUUCGUAUUUCGGUCCAUUACGGAUUGUCCUUCUAUAAAUAUUGAAAUAUCUACAGAAAAAUCAUUUGAAUUUUUAGAUUAUUUUGUUACAAUAUAAAAAUUAAAAUUCAAAUGAAUUAAAUAAUCACAUAUGUAGAUAUACCUGAUUACUAAUUCUAUCACCAAAAUGAAUGACGGACCUUCACGGGUGGUGGAUUAGGGUCGUCGAUCCUAUGCAUCUGCAUAUCAAUAUGAUAUGUUUGUUGUACCUAAUCCUGAAAUUGAUCUCACGACAUAAUGUAUUGAUACAUUGUAUGCCAUUGGUGCAUCAAUGUGGUGAUGAUUGUAAGUUGAUCGUCAUGAAUUAUAUUUGUCCGAGGCAACUCCUAAGGCAUGUAUUGGUGAAUGUUUGAGCUUCUACUUUCGCUACCGAUCUGUUGCUCCGUAUCACACUGUUGCACAGAGAAGUAUGACUAUCACCGAAUUAUUGUUGGCCAUAUGAUUCUCCAUAAUACGACGACUGUGAAUACGAUAAGCUUCGUUCUGUGUCUACAUCAUGUAGGCUCUGUCGCAUCUGCUCAAAUUCAUCCACUGCCUUCCCUUUCUCCUUCCCCUUCCGCGCAUAAACUUGACCAGUACCUUAUCGAGUUCCGUGAUCUGAAUCUUGGGUGGCGUGUAUAAAAUAUUGUUCCUCGGUCCAUGCACCACCCUCAAGUUGUGUAGACGAGACCAACGACUAUUCGACGUCGUCACCAUCAUCCGUCGAGGCACUGCUGUCCAUGUUGCUGUCAUGUCUCUGGACCGAGCGAGUUGAUGAAUGUGAUUGUGAAGGUGUCUCAUCGCUCGACUUGAUUCUUUCCAACGAUGUGACUGUCUUCCCCUUUGCCUUUGCACGUGGGCGGACGAUUAUGAUCGUUGGGUGUCUGUAGUUCCUUGAGCAGUUUGACUCGAUGUUGUUUGACUCUUGCCACAUUGUGAUCGAGGGGGAUUUUCCACUUGCUGGGAUUGUGCUUCCUCUUCUUCCAUUGCCUCGGUGAUAAAAUGCGAAGGACGUUGAGGAUCUCCCACCUAAUUAAGUAGAGGAGCGUCAUGGUUCUCUGCCGCUUCGACCCACUCUAACAUCGGCUCUGAAUCUUCGUUGUAGAAUUAGAGGUCGAUGGGAUCAAUAUCUGGUUCCUCUGGCUCCUUAUCCAGCUCAACACAUCGCAAUCUUAGCCGCAUGUUAUAAUGGACAUAUACCAGUUUAUUUAACCAUCUAUAAGAGAGUUUGUUGCGGACCUUUCUGUGAAUCAAUGCAAACGUUAACCAAUUACGUUCGCAACCAUUAGAUGUCGUCAUCUUUGAAAGUACACGAACAACAACCUUCGUUAAAUGUGGUGCAUUCCCUCUAAAUUGUAGCCACCACUCGACUACAAAAAGAUAUAAAUAAGAUUUUAUUAGCAUAAUAAAUAAUUAACAUAAAAUAAUUGAUAAUCAAUAUGUGUAACUUUUCCUCAUCAGGAUCCAUAAUGUAACGACACGAUACAACUAUAACGUCGGAGAAUGAACCAACUGUUUCUCAGAAUAAUCAAGCAUUCAUAAGAGCAUCAGUUGCAUCAGCAGUGUUUGACAAGAGUCGAUAUAUAACAUUUCGUAGUGUCAUUAGUAAAUCAUUUUGUGUUCCGAGAUCAUAUCGAUAUUGAAUUGUCGGGUUUAGAUAAUACGCUGCAAGAUAUAAUAUUGUUAGUAUGAUUUUUUAUUAUAUAAAAAAUAAUAAAUUAAAUUAUUCUGAAUAUAAAUUUACCUACAUUAUGGAUAUCUUGAUCUAUAUGAACUUCAGUCCGACGAUCAAUGAUCUGUACGUAUUGGUCGGUCUUAACAUCAUCUUUGAAUGCUUUCUUGACCUUAUCUCUUGCUGAAAUCAGCAUAUAUUUACGAUACGACAUCUAUGGAUGCUUGUUCACAUCGACCUUAUGGAGAACAAUAUAAAGUGGUUCUACACCUUUUAUGAUUUUAGCCAUGGUGUCCCAAAAUCUAAAGGAAAGAAUGAGCUUUUCUAUCUUCUUUCCAUCGCUUAUUCUCGAAUGUCUGGAAUCAGACCACUCUUGUGAGGUGACCAUUGCCUUCAAGCCAUGUCUUUUUUGCUGUAAUGACUUUAAUGCAUUAAAAUACUAUUAACAUAAUUAAUUACCCAUUAAUUACUUCUCUUUCAACACUAUAAACAUGUCAAAUAUCUUAAUAUGUAUUAAAGACAUUGAAUUGAUCCAAAAUCGAUCAUAUUUUGAUUAAAUCAUCAUUAAAAUCACUAAUUAUAAUAUUAAAUAACUUUAAUAAAACUUAAUUAAACCUAUUUUACCAUCAUAAAUAUCUUCAAAUAUUUAAUAUGCAUGAAAUAUAAAUAUUUGAUCUAUUAAGUGUCUAAUUUCGAAUUAAUCAAUUUUAAACACACUAAAUAUAAUAUUAAAAAUCUUAAUUACUCUCUAAUUAAAUAAAGAGAAUACAUACCUCUUGAUUAAAAAGUUCUUCCUCUUAAUCCUCCCAAAUUAACCUCGAUUCAAUUCACAAAUCAUUACUUUGUAGAGUUUAGGAGAGUGCAAAUGUGAGAAAAAAUGAGUUUGAGAUAGUUUAAGAGAGAGUGAAAUGGAGUGAAAUAGGGGGGAGGAUGGGUUUAAAAACCCAUGAGAAAGGACUCCAACGGUUAAUUUGACCGUUGGAACAUUGUUACAGGUCGGUAAUGGUCCUGUACCGAACGGUAACAAUCGAAAUUUCGAUCAUUACCGCCCGAUAUAGCCCCGUAUCAUCCAAUACGAGACGAUAUCCAGUAUUCCGCUCGGUAGUGGGCGGUCCGCGUACCGGUUUGCUGGCGGACCGGUACGUACCGCCCAUACCAGGUGGUAUUAUUCGAAAUUAAAAACGUUGCUAUGAACAUUUAUAGUCAAGAAAAGACAAUAUUCUGUUCUGAGUUUGUGUAGUUAUGAACCAUAUGCAUGAGAAGAAAACUCAGGGAUGAGAUGAACUUAUUAAUGCAAAGGAACAGAGAUCAAGAAUAUUGCGCUAAAUGCUAUUUUAAUUAUGGUAAUAGGGGAACUAAGAGUUAGAAGAAAAAGACACAAGGAAAUUUAAUAUUGAAGUUGCAUAAUCACAGUUUGUAUAGGAGUGAGGAAUUUACAACUCAGAAAAGUGCAGAAUUUAUUCUGAACUCAUUAGUAGAAAGCAUAUAAGAUAAUAGAGGAGCAUACAUGUUUAUACAUAAUUUGAACACAUGUGAAAUAAUGGUGCUGACAUGAUGAGGUUCGGAGCCAUGUUACGGGAAGAAAAAUUAAGCAUGAGUCAGAAAAACUAAUUGGAUCACCAUUUUAAGAGAAGCAAUUAUUAAGGGUAAGUAUAUGUGGUAAGCAUUACCACAUUUAAUUUUAAUCUUAGAACUUAGUGUAACUUUGUAAAACGGGAAGCCAGGGGCUAAGAUGGAUAAAAGAGUACAUUAAUGCAGUAGAACAUUUGUUGGUUGCACAGAUGCAAGUGGCAAUUACCAAAUGAUUCAUUCCUUCUCAGUAUUCAUGAGUUCAUUUGUCAUUUUUCACAUAAUUUUUUGUUCUUGUCAAGGUUGUUCAUAAUGCUUCCUACUAUUCGGCCCUUCUUAUGUGCUAGGUACAAGCAGUCAAUGUAACUUCUUAGGUGGCUUAUAACCUAUUUGUUUCUGACCUUUUACUCCUGAUAUAUGUACUUUGGGAGCUUGCUCUUGAUUGAACUGUGACUCUACCAUCAGAUUUAGACAGAAUGAUUAACCGUGUUGAGAAAUAAAAAAAUAUUAUUUAAUCUUUCGUCUAAUCGGUUUUGUGGAGAACAUUUUUAUUUUAUUUAUUUAUGAAAUGGCUUUGUAGAUAUUUAGCAUAAUGAUUUUAAUUUUUAUUCUACGCUACAGAGGUAUCAUGAUUGCACCAACUGCUACAGAAUAUCUAUCACAAGCAUGGAGAGGAGCAGUUGUUCUUUCUUUCAUCUGGUUUCUUCAUAGAUGGAAAACCAACUUCUUUGCUAGGGCUUUGACAACCCAGGCCAUCGGAGGGCUUGAUCGAGACAAGCUGUUAACACUGGAGAAGUUGUCAUCCGUGGGAUUAAUUGUACUAGGAGUAAUGGGCUUUGCUGAAUCAGUAGGUGUACCAUUGCAAUCUAUUGUUACUGUUGGUGGCAUAGGAGGUAUGAUUACAUUUGGAUAAAAUGCUUUGCUUUUUCCCCCUAAACCAUCAAUAUUUUGUCAUUAGUAUCUAUAUACCUGUGUCAUUGUAUUAAUGAUGUUAUUUUAGCUCUUUGUACCUUUUCUUAACAUUUUAAAGUCUUACAACUGCUAGAGAUGCUAAUUUUUCAGUGACUUAAUGCCAAUAUUUUGUGCAGCAUGCUUUUAAUGAAGAAGUUUUCUAGAUAAUCUUUAUUUCUAGUCUCAGUUAGAUUAUAAGUGGGUCCAGUUUAGGUUGCAUACGUGUAGUUAACCUGAAUCUGAAUCCAAACCCAGGCUGACCUUCCCAAAAUACUAUCUUUGCGGAUUGGUUAGACAAAGAAACUAGUUGGUUCAGAUAGCAAUCUUUAUUUCUAGUCUCAAUUAGAUUAUAAGUGGGUCCAGUUUAGGUUGCAUACUUGUAGUUAGCCUGAAUCUGAAUCCAAACCCAAGCUGACCUUCCCAAAACACUAUUUUGCGGAUUGGUUAGACAAAGAAACUAGUUGGUUCAGAUAACAAUCCACUUUUGAAUGAAUUAAAGUGACACAAGAGUCCACAUCUCAUCACAUAGAUGACAUGAUACACCAGCCGAAAUAGUAUAUGUUGGCACAUACUGGCUUCUUACCCUUGAUAGAGCUCGGUGCUAGGGAAAGACUUGUGUAGCCAACCUCAGAGUUGGCUUGUUAUUGCUUGUUCCUAGUCUUUGACUUCAGUCCCUAAUUUUAUGUAAUAAUUUCAUGAUUGUGCAUGUUCUCUACAAUUUUUUUUUUGUGAUUGGUAUGUUAUUAAUAUUAGCAAACUAUUUUUUUAAACUAGGUAAUUUUAAUUAAGGAAAUUUCCGGUAGCAGUGUGCAGUAAACUCAUCUUUUUUGUUCUUUUUUUUUGGCUGGAAUUGACACUUGGCAGGCCCUCUUGAAACUGAUCAUGUUUUAGAUGCCUGACUGAUGUAUUCCAUGUCUAAUUGCUUUGCAAUAGAAUCAAUUUAUAUAGCUGAGUUGUUUACUGUUGUAUAAAAUUAAAUGUUUUCUAUCAUUGGAUAAUUUAUUCUAUCAAUUUGAUCAUGAGAAGGUACUUUCUUAUAGGUAAUGAAUGUAUAUCCAUCAUAGAUGAAACACAACUCAAUAAAUAAGGAAAAUAACCAUCUGGUACAAAGUGGUAUACCUCUUGUAGGCAUGGCUUCUCUGGAUUUUUGUGUUUAAUUGUAGUAGGUUAAGGUAGCUGCUCACAAGUACAUCAUAUCUUGCUGCCUCCAGAGUAUUCACUAGUCUAGCUUCUAAAUGGUAACCAUGUUACAGAAGUAACUGCUACAAAUACACACGCUGGCAUAUACACAACGCAGGCAUGUGCGCUCGCACAUCACUUUCCUCUUGCUGAAUUUAUUUAUUUUAUUAUGGUAGACAAUCGUUUUUAUAGGAUUCUUUAGGUAUCUAUUGAUAGAUGAUGUCCUAAUUUUUAUAUAUUGUUUAUUGUAUAUCAUUCUUUAAACUCUUGGAUAAAGAUUUAGUUAACUUUUUUCAACAGGUGUGGCUACUGCUUUUGCUGCUAGAGACAUUCUUGGAAACUUGUUUAGUGGCCUUUCUUUGCAAUUAUCAAAGCCUUUUGGAGUGGGCGACAAUAUUAAAGUAUUUACUUUCUAUUAGUUGUUUUGUAUAUAUAUUUUCAAUCAUAGUAGAUCAUGAUUGUUAGUAAUGCGAGUAGUGCCAUGACAUUCACUUCGAGUAUCUGGCCCCACCUAUAAAAUUAAUACAGGAUAGCAUUGAGCCAUUGAGGCACAGUUUUGACCUGAUCUUUGGAGUACUGCUGUUAUAAUGAUAUUGGUAGGAUUUUUUGUACUUUCUCUUUUGAACUAGACUUGUAUUUGUGUUGAUCAUAGAAAUGGAGAGAGAUGUUUGGAGUGCAAUGUAUCUGCUGGAUGCCCCUUGCAUUGAAACGAGAAAAAAAAAAAUUAUCAAUUUUAGCAAUGUUUUAUGCAUUUAAAAUGUAGGCAAUUUGGAAUUAAUAUAAAAAUAAUUUUGGGUCUAGUUAUGAACAUUUUGAGGCAGAUGCUUAAUUUUGCAGGAAAUGAUAGAAGUCAUGUAGUAACCUCUACCUAUGCUGCUAAUGCUAAAUUGAAUUUACAUGCACAUGCCCAGUAACCUUCUCUACCUACUCUGCUAAUGCUAAAUGCAAGUUACAUGCACAUGCCCAGUAACCUUUUCUAGCUACUCUGCUAAUGCUAAAUGCAUAUGUACAUGCACAUGUCCAGUAACCUUCUCUUCCUACACUGCUAAUGCUAAAUGCAAUUUAACUGCUUUUAUUUUAAUAUUAUUUCAUUUACAUUCAAGUAUUGAUCCUAGAUAUGAAAUGGUCGCUCUCUUUGAACACCUCUAUUUCUUUAUAACCUCGCCUCAAUAAGUAUUCCCAAAUUUGUCACCUUACAUUUGCACUAAAGAAAAAUCAACUAGUAUCUAUCUUUUGUUGUGAUAAUGUAUCUUUAUAGAAAAUUGUGCUACUGAACUCAUGUUGCACAAAGUGUCACCUAACUCCAUUUCUCAUUGUUUGAUAGGUUAAAGGCAACCCUGAAAUUAGAACCAGGGUUUGCUGUACCGAGCUGUACUGCUUGGUAAUUGUUAUUGACCUAUACCAAUCUGUACUGCUUAGUAAUUGUUAUUGACCUGUACCAAUACCCUGAAAUCGGCUUAUUUUGAAUGGUCAAUUUGACCGUUUGAACCAUAGGAAAGGAUUUUUAAACCUUUUCCUCUACCACAGUUGUCCGCCCAGUGUGCAAAGGCGAAGACAAUGGCAUCAGUCACAUUGUUGGAAAGAAACAAGUCGGGCGAUAAGAUACCUUAUCAAUCACAUCCAACAACCUGCUCGGUCCAAAGACAUGGCAACAACAUAUACAACAAUUCCUCGAUCGAUAAUGGUGGCGACUCUGAGGAGUCCAUUGUCCCAUCUACACAAUUUGAGGGUGGUGCAUGGAUAGUGGAGAAUAUUUUACACAUGCCACCUAAGAUUCAAAUCAUGGAGCUCAACGAGGUAUUGGUCAAGUUUAUAUAUGGAAGGGGAAGGGGAAGGCAACGGAUGAUUUUGAAUAGAUGCGACAUAGAUUACGUGACGUAGACACAAAGUGAAGCUCAUUGUAUUCACAAUCGUCGUAUUAUAGAGAAUCUUACGAGCAAUAGUAGUACGGUGAUAGUUGAUCAUACUUUUCCGAGCAGUAGCACGACAAUCGAUUAUAUGAUACAAAGCAGCAAAUUAGUGGCGAAAGUAGAAGUUCUAACAUUUUCAUGCUUUGCACUAAUAUAUGCCACAAUCGUCCUUGCCUUGGGAGCUGCCUCGGACACGUGGUUCACGACGAUCAGACUACAACCAUCAUCAUAUUGAUGCACUAAUGACAUACAAUGUAUUAGUAUACUUUGCAGGGUUUGCAAUACCAUACCGUACCACCCAGUAUGGGCAGUAUGUAUUGGUCCGCUAGUAGAUCGGUGUGCGGACCACCUGUUACCUAGCGGUAUCAGGCAUCUGGCCCCGUAUCGAGGCGAUACAGGGCGGUAACGGUCGAAAUCGAUCGUUACCGAAUGGUAACAGUUCUUUAACGGUCAAUUUGACCGUUGGAGGCCUCAAGGGUUUUUAAACCCUUUCCUCCCCCUAUUUCAAUUCAUUUCACUCUCACACUCUCUUAAACUCUUUCAAACUCAUUUUUUCUCAUAUUCUCUCUCUUAUUCUUACAUUUUCACUCUCCAAAACUUAACAAAGCAAUGAUUUUUGGAUUGAAUCAAAUUUAGGAGGUUAAUUUGGGAGGAUUAAGAGGAAGAACGAUCCAUAACGGAUCGAAAUUGAGAACCUUGCACAAGGUUGCUCCUCAAAGCCCGAAAAAUAUAUGUGAUACUAUUUUUCCCUAAUUUACAUUAGUUUUGCUAAAACUAUACUAAAUGCAUAUUUAUUUCUAACUUCAAAACUCUAUCCUAAUUUUUUUUUUUUUUUAGGUAUUUUGGGAGGGUUUUAUGCCUAUUUUAGGCAUACCGCCCGGUAUGCCAUAUCAUAUCAUACUGAGCAAAGCUCGAUACACCGGUACAUUGCGAGAUUAAGAAUCUUGAUACUUUGUCAUGAGAUUAUUUUUAGGAUUGGGUCCGACAAACAUAUUAAACUGAUAUACAGUUACAUAGGAUUGACAAUCUCGAUUUAUCGCCUGUGGAGUCCGGUCAUUCUAUAUGGUGGUAGAAUCAGGUAUAUCUGUUGAUUAAUUACUUGAUUCAUUUGAGUCUUAAAGUCUGAGUAGUUUAAAAAAUAAUUUAACAAUUCAAAUCAUUUCUUUAUAGAUAAUUUAAUAUUAACGGAAGGAAAGUCCGGAACUUAUUACAAAGUUAUCCUGCAAAGUCCAAAAAAGAUGUCACUAUUCUUUUAUAAUUUAUAUUAUUUUUGCUAAAAUUAUACUAAAUUUAUAUUUAUUUUCAACUUAAAACCCUAAUCCAACUUUUUUCUAUUUAAAAGAAAAUUUUGGAGCUAUUUUUGGUAAUUUUACCUUACCGUUGGUCUAGGUGUACUGAUAUACGGUACAUUCGUACACCUUGGUAUGUAUCAUACCGACGAUUGAUCGGUACAUCGGUAUGGACCGGUAAGAGAAAUCUUGAUUAGAACUAUCUUUUUUUAGAUUGAAUUACAAGUUUGGAGGAGACAUUGUGUUGUCUUCUAUCUUUAGAUCUAGGGCAAAGUAUUAAAGGCAUAAUAACUCUUUUAGCCGUCUUGACUUCUCAAAACUUGGAAGAUACUGGUGUACCCUCAAAAGCAACUACUGGUGUAUCUUUCACUGUAAUAUUUUCACAAUUAUGUUAUUGUGGUUAUAAUUUAAACUAUCUAAUCAUGGAAAAUUAAUCAGAAUAAUUAGUACUCACUGGAAUAUAAAAAGUUACUCAUUUUUCAGUGGAAAUGAAAUAUAUUGUUGGUAAACAAGUUUCUGCAUCUAGAGAAAUUGUAGAGUCAAGCAUUGAUCAUGAAAGUUUCUUCUGUUGGAAUAAAAUAAUAUUGUACAGCAGUUUAAGUUGAUAUAGCUUCUGCUAGCGAAAAAGCUUCUCCCUGUAUCAUGGCAGUUGAUGGUCAUUUAUGAGGUCUAGUUUUCAAAGGCCUUUAUACCAGGUUUGGGAUCCCGAGAAGCUUCUUUUGUGUGGACUGUUGUCAAGGUUUUAUAAGCGUGACUCACCUACCUGCCUUUGUCAUUGUGAUAACAUAACAUAUAAGACGUUUUCCUUCUGAAUGCUGUUGCACACAUUCCUUUUUGUAGCGUGUUUUGGCUUGUGUGGAUAAGCAGACAUGAAAAUGUUGGGCAUGCCUUAUCUUCUGUUAAAUGCUUGACCUUUUCUAUAUGAUGUAAAUGAUAAAAUUCACAAAUUGACUGUCAAAACCAGCAUGAGCAAUGGAAUUACAUGUGAUCAUGAUGGUCAUUGCCAUAAAUGAUGUUAGUUAUUUGAGUCACAUGCUUUCUUUCCAGAUUUUCAUAUUCAACUCGACUAGUUCAUCAGCUGCAAAUAAUCUGUUUUCUUUCAGCAAAUCAGAUGUGAAAGAUAUCUUGCUGUCUUUAUUUGAUUUGAGAUUUGUUUUAAUGAUUUAUAUUUUUUGAAAAAUGUAGGCUGGAUCAGUAGAAGGCCAAGUGAUGGAAAUGGGACUCACCACCACGUCCUUGAUAAAUUCUGAAAAGUUUCCUGUCAUAGUUCCAAACUCGCUAUUCUCUAGUCAGGUGUGUAUAUAAUAGAUGUUAGGUGCUGACUCAUUCACUUAUUUAUUAAGACGUUGCUACUAUGAAUUUCCAAUAUAUCUGAAGUUUUUGUCUUAUGAUUAAUUCGAGUUGUAUGGAAUGAAAUACAAGUCGUGACAGUUGACACUGUAAUGCCUUUUGUCCUCGUAGUGCAGCUCUUGGUGCAAGACAAUACCAUGCCUGAAUAAGUCAGGCUAUGAAUUGGACAUGACCUGGUUAAGGUUGAGUUAAGAUGAAUAUAGAGCUGCUUUUACCAUAAUAGUCACAAAUAAGAUUGACCUUGUAUGUGCACAUGGUACAGUAAAAAAUCUUGUUUUUUUUUUUUUAAUAUAAGACGUACAUAAAUAGUCACAGUUCACUGUACUAUCUUCCUGGAAGGUGGUUCUUGGGUUUCUUUAAAUUCGUAUAUCAGCCAAGUUUGCUAUAAGCUCACAACAAACUUAGACACACUUCAAAAGAUAAGUACUUUUUAGAAAUGUACAGAAACGUGGACUGACUUGCAUCAGUAAUUAUCAUGGAUAUUAUAAUUAAUUGCUACUUCAAAUACUUACACCGAAGGCAUUGUUUGAGUUAGUGUGGAAAACAAACUAAUAUUUAUCAAUUAUGUUUACCAACAGAAAAUUCUUGGUAAGAAAUGGGGAUGUAUAUUUAAAUUGAAGCACCAAGGAAACUCCAUGUCAUAAAGACCCGUAAACAUUCUCUGAGCAAUACGUCGGAUGUAUAGUGUCCUAGUAACAUGUCAUUUUCAUUAUCCAUGGAUAGUUCUUUCCUACCAGCCUCACUAGUGAACACAUCCAUGGUCCUAGGAACUCACUAAAUAUCAAUUGCCUGACCUGACCAAGCAGAUCUACUAAGUCAACAAUAUGGAUAGGAUGUAUGUUUUUUUCGUUGUGGCUUGUCUGGUAGUGAUCUUAUAUACUAAUUGACCCAUCAUCAACUUUAAACUAGUGUAUCAGACUUGAUCAUAUAGAAAUUUAAUCAAAUCCAGUGCAACUUGUUGGCACCCCCCGGGUUGCCAGGAGGUGUCCCAACUAUAAUUGAGGUCCAAAAUUGUUUUUAAUUGGAUUGGAAAAAAUAUAUUCUAUCAAUGCUUCAAUAAGUUUUCAUUUUAUAUUCUAGAUUAUGCUGGAGAGUUGAUUGUUUUAGAAGAUUGUAAUAGUGAACAAUUAAAUGGAUAAUUAAUAUAUAUCCAAAUUACUGUUGAAAAGCGCAGAUGAUUAAUGUACUUUUUUUUAAUGUCUGGGAGUAUGUCUUUUGUCUUUGCACUGCUGGCCUUUUGCUCAGUUUUCUUUUUUUUCUGGUUCCUUUGUCGGUGAUGUCAGUUCAAAGAUUGAUAGAUAUCUUGAUUAUCUGACCUAAGAUCUAUUUUGCAGCCUUGUCAGCAGAAUAAGUGUCAUCCAUAAAAAGCAUGCCUCUGCAUGUUUUGUUUGCCAGUGUGGUACCUAGCAUGCACAUAUGUACCAUUCUGGCAUGGCAUGUGCUGCAUGGACAGUUUAUAAUUAAGCUUUCUUUAGCAUGUGCAGUUUCAUCUUAUAUGGUGGUGGUAUUACUUGACCAUUCCAUAACCUCUGUUUGAUGGUCAGCCAUUUUAUGGAUUGGUUAGACUGUUCACAUUUUUCAAUAUAUGUUUUGACAAUAUCAGCAGCCAAUUUCUGUAUCUUGAUGGUUAGACAGUUGGUGCUGGAUUCCAGGCUAAUGUUUUGAACAUUUCUUUAGUUAUUUUGUUGACAUUGAAAUACCCAUCUUCAGUCUGAUGUCUGGCAGACUGAUGCCAUCAAGAUAUUUUCUUUAGUUACUUGUGCUAGACUGAUGCACAAAAGCUAUCCAAACCAGCAACUGGUAUUUGUUAUGCUAAAUUGUGGUCAUAGUGUUUGUUAUCUUUUUUAACUUACAUGAAAAUACUUCCCAGGUGAUUGUGAACAAAUCAAGGGCUCAGUGGCGUGCUAGUCUUACCAAAAUACCUAUACGUAUUGAUGAUAUAGAGAAGAUACCCAAUAUUUCUGAAGAGAUAAGUUCUAUGCUACGAGCUCAUCCAAAAGUUUUCCUAGAGAAGGAUGCCCCUUAUUGUUACCUCUCUCGGAUAGAAUCAUAUGCAGAGCUUACCCUAGGAUGCAACCUCAAAAGCAUGGUGAGUUUUCUUUUACAAAAUUUUACACCCAUGGAAAUCUUGUAAAUGUCCACAUCAUCGUUGAAAUGUUUCAACAAAAUUUAGCAACCUUAUUCUAGAAUGCAAUUUGCUAAUUCCAAGAGCCCGGUGAGCUUUCUUUUAAUUACCUGCACCCAUGGUAUUUUACAAAUGCUUACACCCAUGGAAAAUCAUAUACGUGUUCACAUCAUUGUUGAAAUGUUUCGAUCAAUUUUAGCAACCUUUAUCUGGAAUGCAAUUUGCUAAUUUUGAGAGCAUGGUGAGCUUUCUUUUACUUCACCCUUUGUGACCAUAUACAUGUGCACAUAAUUUUGAAAUGUUUUGAUCAAUUUUAGCAACCUUUAUCUAAAAUGCAAUUUGCUAAUUUUGAGGGCAUGGUGUGCCUUCUUUUACUUAACUUCACCCUUUGUGAUCAUGUACAUGUUCUCAUCAUUGUUGAAAAUUGUUAACAGUAAUUGUUUAUUGCAAAAAUAAAUUUAUCAUAAACCUUAAUAAUUUUAAAUGUUGGCACAGGCUACUUAGAAGUCUGUGGUUCAACAAAGAAUGUGAAUUUGCUGUCAUAACACACCCCAUUAUACACGCUUGAAGAAAUAUUAGUACUUAUAGAACUGGAUAAAAUCUUUCUGAUCAAGAAUUACCAUUACUUGUCUUUAUGCUAGUCCUAGAUUGUGAACUAGAAACUUUAUAUUUAUGGCACAAGCUGCAUUUGAUGUAAUUUUGUUGGUUGUAGAGAAAAGAUGAGCUAUUUGCCACAGAGCAAGAUAUUCUUCUGCAAGCGGCUAGGAUUAUCAGGCAACAUGGUGCUGAACUUGGAAGUACCCUAAAUGACUGCAUGAAAUGUUGAUUCAAAAUCAAUGGAUUUUGCUUAAGGUAUGAUUGUUAUUUGUGCUCAACUACACAAAGCGAGCAAUAUGGAUAUUGCUAUUUGGAGAUGAUUCUAUCUUGUUUGUUAUGCAUUUCUUUUUGCUAUUACUUUCUAUCUGGAGCAUUUAACAAAAAAUCUUCUUGUCUCUACACCAAUACAAGUGCUAACGUCUUCUGAACUUUGUUCUAUUAUUAUUGUGUUGCACAGCACAUUACAUGGAGUCUUGCUGCGUGCCAGUAAGGCUCAAAUAGCUUCAUGGUGCAGACCAUGUCAGGCACUGGCAACCUAAUGUGUGUUCUUAGACUAGAUAGUUGUUGCCGCGAUCACAUUGCCCUUGUAUAUGUAACCAAAUAACAACCAGUAAAAUAAACAGCCCUGUUGGUGAUCGGAUAUCGUCAGAGGUAGUGGUAAAUUAUAGGUAUAGGACAUGGCAGAUAUUUUGAGGAGGGUAUUUGCCAAUUGUUCUUUUCCAAUAGUUGGUAAUUAAUGUGUGCAAGUGUUUGUUAUCUAGCUAUGCUCGAAGUAAGUCCAUGAUCAUUAUUUGACAAAUCCGUAUGUUAAUUUCUGCAUCUGAGAGAUCAUGUUAUAAUUGUUCAAUCCCAUUGACUAAGCGCACAGUUACUAUCAUUGGUGUGCACUAAUGGAUGAUUUGGAUGUGCAGGUCAAACUUUUUCCUUGUUCUGAAAGCUCUCGUCUGUGUUUGAAGAAAGAGAUGACUGUAUAUGCGUGCAUGUUAGUCUCUCUGUUCGAGUGUGUGAUGACUGAUCGAUGAUCCUGUUGCCAAGGGGACUACAUUGUGAGAAAUAGGGAGGACCAGUUUAGGGUUUAGGCUGAAAACUGAACUCUCGAUCAACUUUGAUUGUAAUCAUCAUCUUUAUUUGUCAACAAGGUCUUCUGUUGUAAUUGCAACUCUAGCGGCGUUUACAAAGUCGUGUUGGCUAAUACAAUCACAUAAGAGGAAACGGCGGAUGGGACGAUAGGGCAAAAAAAAAGGGGUUCUUUCUGCGACUUGUAAAGGUUAUUCUCACUCAUUCCAUAACUCUUAACCUUGCAAGUUCGCAUGAUUAUUCCAAACACUGCAUACCUUCUGACCGCUAGUAACAGUUUGAUUACUGCAUCCUGCGCCUCAGGUGACCAUUAUACACGAUAAAAUGAGGUUGACAGGUCUUCCGAAUCCAACCACGUAGGUUCGGUACUGACGCAGUCGCGUGGGCCCCGCCUGGAUUUUGAGAAGGCGAUACGCGUUGCCUCCGCGGGGUCAACCAAGCGCGUACAAGGACCUUUUGCCACCCGCUCGUGAUCCGGUCCGUCUGUCCCGGGUUUGACGGCUGACUUCCGGCUCGUGCCGCGCGAGCCGAACCCAACCGGGUCGACGUCAGGAUGGCCGUCUCGGAAUUAGGCGCAGGUGGGAAGGGCAAUUGGGAAGGCGAAGGGGGGUGGGGCUACCGCGGGGCAAGCACAAAUAAGUGGCAGAGAACAAAAUAAUAUACGCAACAGUGAGGGGCGGAGAAGAGAGGAGAGAAAGGAGAAAGACAGCGGAAGGGAGCGUCCAACAACAGCGACACUGAUGCGGCAGAGUAGUUGUUGACGUUGGCGUGGGAGACGAGGAAUCACCUUCGUUUCUUCCUUCCGGACGUGCAGGCGACGAACGCCAAGGAAGGAAUCCGAACCCAUCCGUGUGAACAGGUUGAAGAAUAAGGAAGGGGAAAAAGAUAGGAAGGAGGGAGAGGGAGGCGGCUGAUCUGCAACCCUUAGGUCCAGGUAUUGAAACCCUAGCUCAUGAUUUGUGUAUGCUUUCUUUAGAUCGUCUUGCAACUCCAAUCUGGGGAAGCGCCUGGUGGGGGAUAAUGACUGAAAGGAUCUGUGGGGGUACUCUUGGUUGAAUCGUCUUUUUUUGGACGCCGGAGCAGAAGUUUUGGCUGGUUUUCGGAGGUUAUGCUCAUGGAUGCCAUGUUCUUGGUACUUGAAGACAGUUUACCGUGGCCUGGAUCGUGGAUCUGUGCGGGUAUAGACCGAAUCCUGUCAUGGACACUGCAAAGACUAACCAUACUUUGAGGUUUUGGCUUCGGAUGGUCGAUCUCGGAAGAAACUUGAUGGAUGUGUUCCCUGCAACCUGCCUCUUGCUGGAUCUGCUGCCUGCGUUAUAGUCCUCUUCUUUAGGACUGGCCAUCCCAGGCAUGUGAGCAGCGAAAGGUGCUGAAGCUUCUUCUCAGAGUUUUGCAGGGAUUUUAGGUGAUAUUAGGUCGCAGAGGCUCUUGAAUCUUGCCCCACCUGUUGUUUGCUCCGAUCUACCUGCCGUCUUCUUCUUGUGGAACUUUUAGGUCUUGGGCUUGGCGUUGGAUCUACUACCUGCACCGUCAUAAUCCUACAGAGCUAUUAUUAUGAUUUUUUUUGUCCAGAUAAGCAGACUGGCAACAAUGCUUCUCGUUGGAGUGCCUGUUCACUGGGAUGUUAGAUGAUGUAGGUUUCACAGGGUUGAAACUUCUCUCAGUAUCCUGAUUCUUGUAGCUCCUGCUGGUUACUAUGAUAUACUCCUAUCUACCUCUUGUUUGAUCACUCCUGGGUCAUGGAUUGCUGUUGCAUCGUCAUCCCCUUCUUUCUGUGCCGUCGUAGUAAAAAGCGAAGUGACAGGUGUUGUAUUUUGUUUUCUUUGACUGGCUGAGAAGGGUGGUGCCUUUGGGUCUGCUGUGACAUCAUCAUCCUCUUCGUUUGGGCGGUCUUGGUCCUAAGAGGAGGGACAUGUUCUGUUUUUUUUAUUGGACCAGCUGAGGAAGGUGGCACUUGUGAUUCUUCUUGGGAUGCCUGGUUACUUGUAUUUUAGAUGAUAUUAGGUUUCACAGGGUUGAAGAAAAAUUUCGGAGGGUUUUGGUCCUUGUUGUUUUUGCCGUUUCCUGUGUUUUUACCUGUGAUUUACCACUUGAUGAUCACUCUAAGAUCUUGGCUUAGUCCUGGUUCUGCUGGCUGUAUCAUCUUUAUCAUAUUUAUGGCCUUCUGAGUGCUAAGGGCAGUUUAUAUUACUUGGUCAGCAAGAUUGGUAUUGUUAUUUGUUCUUCAAGUUCCUGUUUUGUGAGAUUGUACACAGGAUUAAAAAAUUUCUUCCAGACUCUUAAUGCUUGUUGCUCCUGCCAGUGGAUUGUUUCUCCAAGAUUUUCAUCCUGUUGGAUCAGACCAUGCUUUCUUAUGGUUCUGUUCAUAUUGCUCUAAAGGAUCUCUGCUGCACAUGUACUGUCUGACCAUGCAUACUGGAAUUAUUUCUCAUUUGUUGAAUGAAUGGGAUUAAUUGAAAUUGGGGAAUCACCUGAUUUUGUGUAUUGUCAUCUUGGAGACUGGUUUUCUUGAUCUGAAAUUUUUGACCACUUUUUUUUUCUAAUCUGGAAAUUCAUGACCUAGAUGUUUGUGUUAGUGGCAGCAAUUGGUUUGUUAAUGAAGUAGAUAUUUUAGGGGAAGUUGGCGGUUGGCGAUUGGCAAUUGAUUUUCAAGCAGAACAAGCACUGUGCAUAGAAAAGCAAAGAUUGGCCUACAUUAGAAGAAUAGAAUCUUUGUUUUUUCUUUCAUGUGCAUUAUACCCAACUGUCAAGGCAGGACUAAUGUUAGAUUUUUUUUUAUUUGUAUUUCUUACAUUGCUUGAAGAUUUUAGUUUGGAGCACAGUUAAAUUCUUUCUGUAGAUAUUUUGACUGAUUUUGAGCUAUAAUAGGAGGUACAAAAAUGCCUAUAAGGUUUUCUAAGCAUGAUAUACAAGUAGUCCACCAUCAACUCUGGCAUUUUUGUGGAUAUUCUCCUGGGUUGGAAUAUUGUUUAAUUU